ACAAGCGGUGGAGCAUGUGGUUAAGUCGAAGCAACGCGAAGAACCUUACCAGGCCUUGACAUGCAGAGAACUUUCCAGAGAUGGAUUGGUGCCUUCGGGAACUCUGACACAGGUGCUGCAUGGCUGUCGUCAGCUUGUGUCGUGAGAUGUUGGGUUAAGUCCCGUAACGAGCGCAACCCUUGUCCUUAGUUACCAGCACGUUAUGGUGGGCACUCUAAGGAGACUGCCGGUGACAAACCGGAGGAAGGUGGGGAUGACGUCAAGUCAUCAUGGCCCUUACGGCCUGGGCUACACACGUGCUACAAUGGUCGGUACAAAGGGUUGCCAAGCCGCGAGGUGGAGCUAAUCCCAUAAAACCGAUCGUAGUCCGGAUCGCAGUCUGCAACUCGACUGCGUGAAGUCGGAAUCGCUAGUAAUCGUGAAUCAGAAUGUCACGGUGAAUACGUUCCCGGGCCUU
rnacentral:rRNA from 1 species